rnacentral:lncRNA from 1 species
GCAGACGAAGGCGCUGCAGAUGGCGGCGUGAAAGCCGGAGACGAAGGCGCUGCAGGCGGCGGCGGCUUGAGAGCCGGAGAUGGCGGCGCUGCAGGCGGUGGCGGCGUGAGAGCCGGAGACGGAGGCGCUGCAGGCGGUGGCGGCAUGGAAGCCAAAGACGGAGGCGCUGCAGGCGGCGGCUUGAGAGCCGGAGAUGGUGGCGCUGCAGGCAAUGGCGAUAGCUGGAUGGGCUCCCCGGUCCCCCCAGCGAAAGCAGCAGGCUGAAGCGGUUCCUGAGACCCCUCAGCGGAAGCUGCUGAUGACGGCGAAGGCUGGAUGGGCUCCUCGGUCCCCCCAGCGAAAACAGGCUCAAAACCAGUGGGCAUGGAAGCCCCUGGCACACACAAAACAAAACCAGCAGGCUCGUGGGCCUCUGGUACACGUGAAACAAAACCAGUAGGCACGUGGGCCUCUGGCACACACGAGGAGGGCUGUAGCUGCACAGAGCCCUGACCCUGCUCAGGCAGUGAUAGCCGGGUGCAGUCCACAGCUGGCAACUUGGCCUCCAGGGGUCCAGAGUUAGCUGAGGGUUGUAACCUAGCCUCUGGGGAAGCCCUGGAGUGAGUAACAGUCUCUAAUGUUGUCAGCGUUUGAGGAACAGUUCCCUUGUGAAACAGUUUGUCUCCCUGCUCAGGAACAGUGGUGGAUAAACAGUCCUUUAAAGGGUGCACGGACAUAGCUUCCUGUAGAGGGGCGAGUGAAGAUCGUGACUCAGCCAUUAACUGAACUACUGACUGAGUCAUGGACAGAAAUAGGGGUUGCAGUGAUGUUAGUGGUGAUGGUAGCUGAGUGGCUGACUGAACAGGAAAUGGUGCUCUUGGGGGAGCUAAUGGCGGUGCUGCUAGCGGCUGACCGCAAAACUGGGCUGGAGGGUGGCAAUAAAGUCCAGGCUCGGAAGGAGCGGCAGAGAUACGGUCUUUAGGUUUAGCAGACGGUGUAUAGACCCCCACUUGGGAAGGGUCCGUCACCACGAAGGUGGGUAAGCUAUACAUAUUGUCUCUCAUCCCGCUCUGGAUAGCCCCAGAAAACAAAGACCCGGAAUCUGGGGGAGCCAAAGCAUCCCGCUCACUCACCGCUUCUGGCUGCUCGGAAGGAAAUGCAGGUGGGGGAUGAAGUCCCAAAUCCAAAAGGAGAAAUUCCUGCUCCCACGGGUAUAGCGAGCCCAAAAGCCAAGGGAGACCGGUCACCAGACGCUGUAGCCGCCUCUCUAUAGCGCGCUGGGACUUGUAAUCCUGGCUUUCCAGCCACAGGUCGAUGAGCUCUUGAGUGGCAUCGAUGAGGUUCUCCCGUAGCUCUUUAGACGGGUUAAGUGCUGCUGGGUCCAUCUUGUGGUUGCGUCGUACUGUCACGGCUCGGGGCAGCGGCCGUGUGAGGUGUGGAAGGGAGGACUCAAAUGCAGUACUUAUUCAGAUGUGAGGGAGAUUUAUUAUGAAUACCAAACAUAAAGUGGAGAUGGUAAAACAGAACUAAAGAUGAACUAAACUGGGAGAAUCUAAACCAAAGAGCAGCAAACCUGAGCAUGGAGGGAGGACAGCAGGGAGAGCACGCAGGGUGACACAGAGGAAGAACACAGAGCAAUGCAGAGUAGGCAGGGUGACACUGAGUGAUGAACACAGACGACGCAACGAGGAACAAAGGCAAACACACACAAUAAAUACACAGAGGGACACUGGGAAAUCACACACAGGUGGGAGACACAGCUGGACCUGGUUAACCUGACGAGACAGGGGAAACACUCACACCAGGGACCAACAGAGGGAGCACAACCCCAGAAACCCAGUAUCAAAAUCCCAAAACACAAACCAUCCCAAACAGCCCACAAAUAAUAACAAUAAAUACACCAAACCCAAAACCGCUGAGUCAUGGACUCAGGAUCAUGACAACUGUACCAUGCUGCUGAGUGACUGCUGCUCGUCAAACACAUUUCAUUGCAAUGUUGACCCUGUGCUAACUUGCAUAUGACAAAUAAAACUGAAAACUGAAUUUAAUUUAAGCGAGUAAAACCAACAUAUAUUUUUAAGCUACUUUAACUUAACUGUUGUGGAUACGACUUAGUCAAAUAAUAUUAGUAAUUCCAACUAAGGUCGUGUUAAGUGUACCAGAAUAAUUUGUUUCCUUUAAACUUAUGUCCCAAAGUUAUAUUCAUCAAACACUCAAUCAAAUUGUUAAUUUCUCUCUAUUUCAAUUAAGUAAAUUUUACUUAAACAAAUAUUGCUUACCCUGAUUUUUUAGUUCUU